rnacentral:tRNA from 1 species
CGGAACGAAUCCCACUUGGCAGGGAACUCGACUGUAGAUCGAGCUGCUGCACGUUCGAGGCGUGCCGUUCCGA